AUUGAACGCUGGCGGCAUGCCUUACACAUGCCAGUCGAACGGUAACAGGUCUUCGGAUGCUGACGAGUGGCGAACGGGUGAGUAAUACAUCGGAACGUGCCCGAUCGUGGGGGAUAACGAGGCGAAAGCUUCGCUAAUACCGCAUACGAUCUACGGAUGAAAGCGGGGGAUCUUCGGACCUCGCGCGGACGGAGCGGCCGAUGGCAGAUUAGGUAGUUGGUGGGAUAAAAGCUUACCAAGCCGACGAUCUGUAGCUGGUCUGAGAGGAUGAUCAGCCACACUGGGACUGAGACACGGCCCAGACUCCUACGGGAGGCAGCAGUGGGGAAUUUUGGACAAUGGGCGAAAGCCUGAUCCAGCCAUGCCGCGUGCAGGAUGAAGGCCUUCGGGUUGUAAACUGCUUUUGUACGGAACGAAAAGCCUCUUUCUAAUAAAGAGGGGUCAUGACGGUACCGUAAGAAUAAGCACCGGCUAACUACGUG
rnacentral:rRNA from 1 species